AUUUCCCUGUGUCCUUUCCUAUGGCUGUGGUUGGAGAGACGUAGAGAGAGGCUGCUGCGAAGUCACAAUCCAGCCACACGGCAUUGAUCCUGUCAUGGCUGGUGUGGUUGUGUCCACACGUGACCUGAACAUCCUUCCCACUCAGUACCAAAUACAGUCAAUUCUGUGGCUUGAUGGUGCGUGGACAUAACAUUCAGAUAUCGCCCAUGAUGAGGAAACAGAAGCUGGGAUAUGUGAGUAAACAUUUCCAAGGUCCUGCAGCUAAUCAAUGGUUGACAACUUCUUUCCUCUGCCUAUGUUGCCAUCCAUGUCAUGGUUUGUGUCAAGACUCUAGGAGAAGUCUACCAUCAGCACCACAGCUACUGUGCACAAAUCCAGAAUGCCAGACUGAAGUCAGAAGGAAAGGUAAAAGUCCAAUUCUCAGAUGGCAAUUCAGACUUAGAAAACAGAAUGAGAAAAAGCAGUGGUGUCCAUCUCUCCUCAACGAUGAAUUCAUGUCUUAAAAUGUAUCUGCAUCUAUUUCUUUCUGUCUACCAUCCAUCCAUCCAUCUUUCCUUCUUUCUUCUUUCUCUUUCUCUUUCUCUCCCUCCUUCCUUCUCUUCCUUCGUUUUCAUAAGUAAAACUAGUACUAAUGCAGAAGUCUGAAAUUAGACUUUAAAAACGAGUACUACUCUUUUUUUCCCCCUUUUUGAGAGAGCUGGUGAUUUUCUUCCUUGCUUGGCAUUAACUGUCUUACUGUCUUAUGAUACUUAUCUUUAAUGUGGCAUAUCAGAGAACCUCUUUGAAAAUGUUACGGCUUAAUGCGGCUCAGGGAAAUAAAAGCCCACUUUAAAAAAGCCAAAAUAAAGCUUUCUGAUACGGACUUCACAAUUAAUUUUUGAGAAGGUCCACUUUCAUAUGCAAGCAAAUCUGUUUAGAAAUGUUUUAAAUUUUAAAGCAUGCAUACACAUAUAAAACUAAUUUAUGUGUUUUUAAAUGCUGUUUAAAAUUUUAAAGCAUAUAUAGAGAGCAAGAGAGCAAGAGAGGGUGCUCAAUAUGCAUCAUAAUAGCAUGAGAACUGAAAAAUAAAAGUUUACUUGCAAACUUAACCGGCUUUGCAAUGCAACAGACUAAACAAGUCACAUUUUAUACAAUGUAUAUGUUUAUAAUAUGAGUGCAGCAUGCCAAUGUGCUAUUUAGAUCAUUGUCCUGGUUGAAUGAACAAGCUCACAGGUUCACCAUUUAAUAUUUGUUCUCUUAAAAACAUGAAACUCGUUUUGAAAAUACCGGCUUAAAUGGGCAUUAUUAAGUCUUU
rnacentral:lncRNA from 1 species